GACGAACGCUGGCGGCGUGCUUAACACAUGCAAGUCGAACGGAAAGGCCCUGCUUUUGUGGGGUGCUCGAGUGGCGAACGGGUGAGUAACACGUGAGUAUCCUGCCCUUGUCUUUGGGAUAACUUCAGGAAACUGGGGCUAAUAUCGGAUAGGAUCUCCUGCUGCAUGGUGGGGGUUGGAAAGUUUCGGCGGUUGGGGAUGGACUCGCGGCUUAUGAGCUGGUUGGUGGGGUAGUGGCUUACCAAGGCUUUGACGGGUAGCCGGCCUGGGAGGGUGACCGGCCUCAAGGCGCCUACGGGAGGGCCCAGUCUCCUACGGUAGGCAGCGGGGGAGAGUAUUGCACAACAAGCGGGCGCGUGUUGCGACAGCGCCGCGUGCGGAAAGACGGCUUUCGGGGUGUGAACCGCUGUCGCCUGAGACGAAGCGUGAGUGACGGUAAUGAGUAAAGAAGCACCGGCUAACUACGUG
rnacentral:rRNA from 1 species